rnacentral:tRNA from 1 species
GCGGAUAUGGUGGAAUUGGCAGACACGCUACUUUGAGGUGGUAGUGCCGCAAGGCGUGCAGUUUCAAGUCCUGCUAUCCGCACCA